rnacentral:lncRNA from 1 species
CACAGGAGUGCUCAGUGAUGAGCAACUCAAAGGGGUGGUUCGCAUUUGGGGCUUAUAUACCUUAGUUGACGAAAAAGACGGGAGAGAAAGGCUAUUAUGGGAAAAAAAAUGGGUUUCCUUAGGAAAGACAAAUAGGAGUUUUCAGGAGAAGAAACAGGAGAUAAGAAAGUUUGUAAGACUGUUUGUCUAGACAGGUAUGGGUGGUCUCCUUCAGGGCCAUAAAACUUCCCUGAUGAAUGCAUUUAUGAGUAGACCUAACCCAAAGGGGGAAUUUAUAGCAGCCUCCUUUCUCAGAAGUCACUGCUUUUAGUCAGAUAAAGGAAGCUCUGAGAAAGUUUCUUUCUAUAUGUUCAUUCUCAAUUGCCUUCGGCUCAAAAUAAUCCUGAUGACAAAGUGUCACAUUUUGGCAUGGCAUAUUCUGAUCUCCCUUAGGUUAAAUAACUAUUACAAAGGGAGAUUAAAAGCUGAUGCAUUCUAUCAAUUCUAAAGAAAAAGAUACCGGUAAUAUAAUAUAAUGAAAUAAUGUAAAAAGUAUAAUUUAUACAAUCUAGAAUGAUGACUAUUAUGCAAUUGCCACUUUAAUCAUAAGACAAAAAUCCCAAAAGUAUAAGUGUCACUAAAGCAAUUAUCCACCUUUAAAAGACAGCAUUUGACAACAUUCCUAAUAUCUUUCUUAAUCUACUGCUUUUCCUAGAUUAAAUGUAUUUUUAAAAUCACUGUCAGCUCUCUUAAUCUUUAGAAAUUUUUAAGCUUUUAGUACCAUCGUUUUCUCUAGGACAAUUUUUAAACAUUUUAAUAUCUUAAAUUUGAGGUUUUCUUCAUUUUCCUGAAAUUAUCAAAUCAACCCCGAAAUCCCCAAUAUCCAAAGUUUUUCUCACUAAUCACUAUAGGUUAUUAGGAAAUCACCUUGGGCCUUUUUCUGAACAAUUUCCUAGGUUUGUCUUUACAGGAAGAAAGAAGAGUAAGUUCUAGGAAAACCCUAAGAAAUAUUUCAAAUAAAAUGCUUUAUUUUGCCUAAGUGCAGAAAAUCUAUACAAGUUUCCCCAAAAGGAAGUUUUUAAUAAACCAAAAAAGGCAAAAAUAUCGUUAGAAAUAAUUCAGAUGAGGCUGAUAUUCCAAAGGGCUUAAUUAUGGAAUCUAUUUCAUAUUUUAGUUUCAGAGCGUAAUUCAUAUGACGUAUAAAGCACAAGGUUCGGCCUACGUCCUCAGACGAAAUCUUCUCCCUGAAGGAAUAUAAAUUCAUAUUUUUGCUAGCAUUUUAAAGGUGCAAAAUACUUAAGUGUGGGUAAUCUCCUCUGUCCUUAGCCCUUUCAUUAUAAACAUUUAAAACUUCUAAAGGUCACCAAUGGCUUGCACUUUCCCAAUCAAUUACUGAAAAGAAAUGUGCCAGGCUCACGGUGGAUUGAGGCAAAGGGGCUCCUGAUGAUGAAACAAAGCCGACAGGUGGUACCUGCAAAUCCCCGGAGAGGGACAGGCCGGCCGGCGCCCUCUCCCUCCCCAGAGCCCAGCAUCUGAACCCUCGGCGUCCGCAAAGUCCAGACGCUGCCACUCAGCCCUGAAACUGACACGAAACGGACAAGACAAGCUGCCGCGCUUCAGCCACGGGCACGCGAGUGACGGGAUUUCCUGGAUCACUGACCCGCGGCCCGGCCCCGG